AAUCAACGCUGGCGGCGUGCCUAACGCAUGCAAGUCGAACGCGAAAGUGGAGCAAUCCAUGAGUAGAGUGGCAAACGGGUGAGUAACACGUGGGUGACCUGCCUUCGAGUGGGGAUAACGUCCCGAAAGGACGCUAAUACCGCAUGACAUGCUGUCUUUGAACAGAUGGACAUCAAAGCCGGGAUCGCAAGACCUGGCGCUUGAAGAGGGGCCCGCGCCUGAUUAGCUAGUGUGGGUAAUGGCUCACAAGCAACGAUCAGUAUCCGGCCUGAGAGGGCGGACGGACACACU
rnacentral:rRNA from 1 species